rnacentral:lncRNA from 1 species
GGGGUCUUCAAGAUGACUACCUAUGUGCCUGCUCGCUGGCCUCAUUCUGUGUCCAGCCUGCACACUGUCAUUAGGAGAAUUCUAGCCCCCAUCACCCCCAGGCUGAGCAGUACCCCCCGCGGAGGCUCCUGAGCCAAUCCCCAGGUACUUCCACCCAAGGUGCCUCAAGCUAAGCUCCACAGGGAAUGUAGUGGGGUGAGAACUUUUCCAUACGUGAUGCCCACCCACGGGGGCUGUUUAGAUUUAGAGGUUGCACAGAAUCGCUCUGCAUCUGGGAGACCAAAAGGCAAUUCUCUGGAAGCUGGUUAGCGUUAGCGGGGGGGAGCUCCCGAGCUCCCUGGAGAGGAAUCGGGAUGUCAGAGAGACCCUUUGUGCCACCCGGCUGCCUCUCUUGCAGACCCCGUCCCUGGCACAGAGCCUCCCCCUGGCUCCUUUCCUCCACUGACAUCCUGUAGUGGCC